CGGAUUGAAGGCUGAAAUUACGCCUUCCAUGAAGCUGGAAUUGCUAGUAAUGGCAGGUCAGCAUACUGCCGUGAAUACGUUCCCGGGCCUUGUACACACCGCCCGUCACACCAUGAGAGUUGGGAAUACCCGAAGCCUGUGAGCUAACAUAUAUGAGGCAGCAGUCGAAGGUAGAAUCAAUGAUUGGGGUGAAGUCGUAACAAGGUACC
rnacentral:rRNA from 1 species